rnacentral:rRNA from 1 species
GAUGAACGCUGGCGGCGUGCCUAAUACAUGCAAGUCGAGCGAACAGAUGAGGAGCUUGCUCCUCUGACGUUAGCGGCGGACGGGUGAGUAACACGUGGAUAACCUACCUAUAAGACUGGGAUAACUUCGGGAAACCGGAGCUAAUACCGGAUAAUAUAUUGAACCGCAUGGUUCAAUAGUUAAAGACGGUUUUGCUGUCACUUAUAGAUGGAUCCGCGCCGCAUUAGCUAGUUGGUAAGGUAACGGCUUACCAAGGCAACGAUGCGUAGCCGACCUGAGAGGGUGAUCGGCCACACUGGAACUGAGACACGGUCCAGACUCCUACGGGAGGCAGCAGUAGGGAAUCUUCCGCAAUGGGCGAAAGCCUGACGGAGCAACGCCGCGUGAGUGAUGAAGGUCUUCGGAUCGUAAAACUCUGUUAUUAGGGAAGAAAAAAUGUGUAAGUAACUAUGCACGUCUUGACGGUACCUAAUCAGAAAGCCACGGCUAACUACGUG